AGCUCAUGGAGAAAGUCACUCCAAAGAGAGAGCCUCCCGCAAUGGAUGACCUUGAUGAUGACAUCUGAAAAGACACAAGUCCCAAAGAUACAACAACAGCACAAGAUGAAGAGAAAGGAUGCAAUGGAGAAAGUGUCAAGUUAAUGCAACCUCAGGAUAUUCAGACGUCACUGCUUUUGUCCAAGAUGCAACGCAAGGAUUGCUAGUGCGAACCUUACAUGGCAACUCUCUUCCCUGAGAUUCUUAUGUUGGGUGGCAAUGUAGUGGGCACACUCUUGACUUAAAGUAGGGGUAAAUAUCAAGGCGGAUAAUCCAUAGUAUGUGCUUUGAACUGGAUUAUCUGAGUCCGCAUUGCCCUAUAACCCAGUUCAAUGUAGAUUUUAUACAGCUGUGUGGAAUGGGCCUUAGGUAUAACCCUCCACAUUUAACUCAACUGCUAUUCUCAGGAUUUUUCAUUGCUGGCUAUGAUGUCCAUGCCUGCUGCGAACUACAGUUCAGCAACAUCUGAUAAGAUGCGUUUUACCCACUCCAGCCUACAACACAACACUGCCUCUUUCUUUUCUCAUUUUGCUUUCUACCUAAACUUCUCUAACCUAUUUCCUUCUCCCUCCCUUUUCCAUUCCCUUGUUUCAUUCUGUAGGGCUACCUGAGCCCCAGGAAUGAUGUACGUAAUAGAAUUUAAACUUCUGCCAAUAAAUAAUGACAAUACCUCUGA